rnacentral:rRNA from 1 species
CCCGCUGAACUUAAGCAUAUCAAUAAGCGGAGGAAAAGAAACUAACAAGGAUUCCCCUAGUAACUGCGAGUGAAGCGGGAAAAGCUCAAAUUUAAAAUCUGGCGGUCCUCUGGGCCGUCCGAGUUGUAAUCUGGAGAAGCGUUUUCCGCGUCGGACCGUGUACAAGUCUUCUGGAACGGAGCGUCAUAGAGGGUGAGAAUCCCGUCUCUGACACGGACCGCCGAUGCUUUAUGUGAUACGCUCUCGAAGAGUCGAGUUGUUUGGGAAUGCAGCUCAAAAUGGGUGGUAAAUUCCAUCUAAAGCUAAAUAUUGGCGAGAGACCGAUAGCGAACAAGUACCGUGAGGGAAAGAUGAAAAGCACUUUGGAAAGAGAGUUAAACAGUACGUGAAAUUGUUGAAAGGGAAACGUUUGAAGUCAGUCGCGUCGGCCGAGACUCAACCUUGCCAUCCCGGCUCGGUGCAUUUCUCGGUUGACGGGUCAGCAUCAAUUUUGACCGGUGGAUAAAGGUCAGGGGAAUGUGGCAUUUUUAUUGAAUGUGUUAUAGCCCUUGGUUGCAUACAUCGGUUGGGAUUGAGGAACUCAGCAUGCCGCAAGGCCGGGUCUUUUGAUCACGUACAUGCUUAGGAUGCUGGCAUAAUGGCUUUAAUCGACCCGUCUUGAAACACGG